rnacentral:lncRNA from 1 species
GUUUCAUUGAAAAUUCUAAAAGAAAAUACAGUUUUAAUGUGUUUUCCCAUAGGGUCAAUGUUAAACAUUUCUCCUGUUUCCAUGGCAAUGGCAGCCAUUUUGGAAUUUCUAAGUACUGUUGGUACCUCGGGGCCCCACCACCAACAUUUGCACAAAGUUUCAUUAGGUUGGCUCUUAUAACGAAAGAGUUAGAAUUUUGAUUUUCUUUUACAUUUUUUUAAUUUCCAUGGUAACCGCGGCCAUCUUGCACAUUCCAAAGUCAGGUGCACAACUUCACAUGGUGGACAACAUUAUAGCAUAGUUCCAUCAAGAUUGGUCCAUUCAAUUCCGAAAACUGUCUUGGACAAAAAGUGUGGAAGAAUAAAAAUAAGAAAAACUAGAUUUGCCAUUGCAAGCAAUAGCGGAUGGCACCCUUCCCCUAUUGCCAGGUGAGCG